CCGUAGCCCAGAUAGAAGCGGUAUCCUUUUGCUGGCUUUUUUAGCCAGGAAAAGAUACAAGUGGAUAGCUGGAUAAGCU
rnacentral:sRNA from 1 species